UACGUAGGGUGCAAGCGUUAAUCGGAAUUACUGGGCGUAAAGCGUGCGCAGGCGGUUAUGUAAGACAGUUGUGAAAUCCCCGGGCUCAACCUGGGAAUUGCAUCUGUGACUGCAUAGCUAGAGUACGGUAGAGGGGGAUGGAAUUCCGCGUGUAGCAGUGAAAUGCGUAGAUAUGCGGAGGAACACCGAUGGCGAAGGCAAUCCCCUGGACCUGUACUGACGCUCAUGCACGAAAGCGUGGGGGAGCAAACAGG
rnacentral:rRNA from 1 species